rnacentral:rRNA from 1 species
GACGAACGCUGGCGGCGUGCUUAACACAUGCAAGUCGAACGGAAAGGCCCUGCUUUUGUGGGGUGCUCGAGUGGCGAACGGGUGAGUAACACGUGAGUAACCUGCCCUUGACUUUGGGAUAACUUCAGGAAACUGGGGCUAAUACCGGAUAGGAUCUCCUGCUGCAUGGUGGGGGUUGGAAAGUUUCGGCGGUUGGGGCUGGACUCGCGGCUUAUCAGCUUGUUGGUGGGGUAAUGGCUUACCAAGGCUUUGACGGGUAGCCGGCCUGAGAGGGUGACCGGCCACAAUGGGACUGAGAGACGGCGCAGACUGCUACGGGAGGCAGCAGUGGGAAAUAUUGCACAAUGAGCGGAAGCCUGAUGCAGAAGCGCCGCGUGCGGGAUGACGGCCUUCGGGUUGUAAACCGCUUUCGCCUGUGACGAAGCGUGAGUGACGGUAAUGGGUAAAGAAGCACCGGCUAACUACGUG